rfam:Aerococcus viridans ATCC 11563 = CCTG 4311 strain ATCC 11563 contig00120, whole genome shotgun sequence.
UAAAAUCUUCAGGGCAGGGUGUAAUUCCCGACCGGCGGUAAAGUCCGCGACCUCCUUUAAUUAGGGGCUGACUCGGUGUAAUUCCGAGACCGACAGUAGAGUCUGGAUGGAAGAAGAGUAGA